rnacentral:rRNA from 1 species
AUUGAACGCUGGCGGAAUGCUUUACACAUGCAAGUCGAACGGCAGCACGGGUGCUUGCACCUGGUGGCGAGUGGCGAACGGGUGAGUAAUACAUCGGAACGUACCCAGUUGUGGGGGAUAACGAGUCGAAAGAUUCGCUAAUACCGCAUACGACCUGAGGGUGAAAGCGGGGGACCGUAAGGCCUCGCGCAAUUGGAGCGGCCGAUGUCUGAUUAACUAGUUGGUGAGGUAAAGGCUCACCAAGGCUAGGAUCAGUAGCUGGUCUGAGAGGAUGAUCAGCCACACUGGAACUGAGACACGGUCCAGCCUCCUACGGGAGGCAGCAGUGGGUAAUUUUGGACAAUGGGGGAAACCCUGAUCCAGCCAUUCCGCGUGAGUGAAGAAGGCCUUCGGGUUGUAAAGCUCUUUCGGCAGGGAAGAAACGCUCUGGCUUAAUACGCCGGGGUAAUGACGGUACCUGAAGAAGAAGCACCGGCUAACUACGUGCCAGCAGCCGCCGUAA